rnacentral:rRNA from 1 species
CGAACAGACGAGGAGCUUGCUCCUCUGACGUUAGCGGCGGACGGGUGAGUAACACGUGGAUAACCUACCUAUAAGACUGGGAUAACUUCGGGAAACCGGAGCUAAUACCGGAUAAUAUAUUGAACCGCAUGGUUCAAUAGUGAAAGACGGUUUUGCUGUCACUUAUAGAUGGAUCCGCGCCGCAUUAGCUAGUUGGUAAGGUAACGGCUUACCAAGGCAACGAUGCGUAGCCGACCUGAGAGGGUGAUCGGCCACACUGGAACUGAGACACGGUCCAGACUCCUACGGGAGGCAGCAGUAGGGAAUCUUCCGCAAUGGGCGAAAGCCUGACGGAGCAACGCCGCGUGAGUGAUGAAGGUCUUCGGAUCGUAAAACUCUGUUAUUAGGGAAGAACAAAUGUGUAAGUAACUAUGCACGUCUUGACGGUACCUAAUCAGAAAGCC